rnacentral:rRNA from 1 species
GAUGAACGCUGGCGGCGUGCCUAAUACAUGCAAGUCGAGCGAACGGACGAGAAGCUUGCUUCUCUGAUGUUAGCGGCGGACGGGUGAGUAACACGUGGAUAACCUACCUAUAAGACUGGGAUAACUUCGGGAAACCGGAGCUAAUACCGGAUAAUAUUUUGAACCGCAUGGUUCAAAAGUGAAAGACGGUCUUGCUGUCACUUAUAGAUGGAUCCGCGCUGCAUUAGCUAGUUGGUAAGGUAACGGCCUACCAAGGCAACGAUGCAUAGCCGACCUGAGAGGGUGAUCGGCCACACUGGAAGUGAGACACGGUCCAGACUCCUACGGGAGGCAGCAGUAGGGAAUCUUCCGCAAUGGGCGAAAGCCUGACGGAGCAACGCCGCGUGAGUGAUGAAGGUCUUCGGAUCGUAAAACUGUGUUAUUAGGGAAGAACAGAUGUGUAAGUAACUGUGCACAUCUUGACGGUACCUAAUCAGAAAGCCACGGCUAACUACGUG